CAGGGAUCCAAUGAAUACUUGGGGACCAUCUGCAAGCUAUGGAUGCCAUGUGUUGAUGGCAGCCCAUGGACCAGAAAACUGCUAAGUACAGAGCUAGAGGUUAAGAUAAUUUAAGAGAUAGCAUGGUUGAAGAGAGUUGGGACCUGAAAUUAAAAUGUGAAUGAAUCACUUUCGUUUCAACCAUUUAGUUAAGAGGAGUUUUAUUCUGAUUUCAAUUUUAGAACAGAACGGG
rnacentral:lncRNA from 1 species